AAGCUGGAUUCGCUAGUAAUCGCGCAUCAGCCACGGCGCGGUGAAUACGUUCCCGGGCCUUGUACACACCGCCCGUCAAGCCAUGAAAGCCGGGGUACCUGAAGUCCGUAACCGUAAGGAGCGGCCUAGGGUAAAACUGGUAAUUGGGGCUAAGUCGUAACAAGGUAUC
rnacentral:rRNA from 1 species